UAAGACCUAAAAAUUCAUAAA
rnacentral:piRNA from 1 species